GACGGGAGACGAAAAAUGCACUGGUGUUCUUGGGAGUGGCUAACUACUCCUAUAGCACUCGGUGGCAUGGGUUUUCGCGAUAUGGCACUAUUUAAUUUGGCUAUUGUCGCCAAGCAGGGAUGGCGGUUACUAACGGAUCUAGAGUAUCUUUCUGCUCGUGUCUUGAAGGGACGAUAUUUUCCUACUUCAGAUUUCUGGAAUGCUUUGGCACCAAGGUCAACGUCUGCUACUUGACGUGCAAUUUUGGCUGGUCAGGAUCUGCAGAAGGGUGUCAGGUGGGGCAUUCGCAAUGGUGAAAAUGUGUGUAUACUCUCGGAUCAUUGGAUCCCCUCGACUCCACCACAACGCCUUCAUCCUCUGUUGCCUAUACCUGCAAAUGCCAAGGUAAAAUGCUUGAUUGAUGAGGAAAUUGAUUCAUGGAAUGUGGAUGCGGUCAAUGCUUUCUUCCGUGAUGAUAUGCUGCAGAGAUACUACAUAUUCCUAUUAGCAGGUAUGGUGGAAUAG
rnacentral:rRNA from 1 species